GGCCCGAUCCUCCCACCCUUUGUGUACCUACCUCUGUUGCUUUGGCGGGCCGCGGUCCUCCGCGGCCGGCCCCCCUCCCCGGGGGGUGGCCAGCGCCCGCCAGAGGACCAUCAAACUCCAGUCAGUAAACGAUGCAGUCUGAAAAACAUUUAAUAAACUAAAACUUUCAACAACGGAUCUCUUGGUUCUGGCAUCGAUGAAGAACGCAGCGAAAUGCGAUAAGUAAUGUGAAUUGCAGAAUUCAGUGAAUCAUCGAAUCUUUGAACGCACAUUGCGCCCUUUGGUAUUCCGAAGGGCAUGCCUGUUCGAGCGUCAUUACAACCCUCAAGCUCUGCUUGGUAUUGGGCACCGUCCUUUGCGGGCGCGCCUCAAAGACCUCGGCGGUGGCGUCUUGCCUCAAGCGUAGUAGAACAUACAUCUCGCUUCGGAGCGCAGGGCGUCGCCCGCCGGACGAACCUUCUGAACUUUUCUCAAGGUUGACCUCGGAUCAGGUAGGGAUACCCGCUGAACUUAAGCAUAUCAAUAAGCGGAGGAA
rnacentral:rRNA from 1 species